rnacentral:hammerhead_ribozyme from 1 species
GUACUGAUGAGGAGUCCCACAAUAGGACGAAACGGCCGUUCAGUGC